CAUCUGGAAUAUUUUUCACAGAUGCCAUUUUCUUAGACUCGCGAUGCGGAGCAUAUGAAGACGGAAAACAGCGAAAUUGAUGUGCUGUGCGCUCUAAACCUUUCUCAGAGAGACAUUUUCUUUCACUGGUGAUGCAGAGCAGACGGGGAAGUUGGUCUUCUCAAGGAAAACACUUGAAUGGUUCAUGCUGGCUUAACAGAAAAAUCGAAAGGAGAUUAUGUGCUUGAAGAGUAUGAAGCCACCAAUACAUUAAGUGGGAUGAGAAGAGCUUACACAUACCAGAGACAUGGGAACACUUCUGUGAUGCUGCUAGUGGGAGUUGGGUAUCUUGCUUGGCUGAAAACUGCAGAGAAACACAUCUCGUCUUGCUGAAAACUACUCUUUACAAGGAGGUCCAAACACCAUUAGCAGAGACUUUGUACAGUGCAUUCUGCCUGGAUGCUAAUGAAUGGGAUGCUGUUGUUUAAGCUGAUAAAUGUAAGCAUUAUAAACCUCAUGACAUUAAGUGCACAUAUGGACCAAAUAAGAAUAUAUAUUUUGUGCCUUUGCACUGAUUUGCUUUGACAUUAUGAUGUUUUAAUUGUUGUAAGAACAUGUUCUUUACAUGCAUUGAAAACACUGAAUGUGAAAACAUUUUGGCGCAGGGAAAAAGAUUUAAAAUGUUUAAUUAAAAAUUAAUAAUUGUAAAAGUGUAUUGUUUUGUGGGUUUAUUUUUUUAUAUUUUUACCUGAACAUUGGUGCAGUGUUCACCAGUUGAGGGAGUUAAGUUCACACUCUAAAAUUUGCAGUGUAGG